ACCCUACCGUGUCCUGCACAACUUUACAACUCCAACCCCACACAAAGCUGAAAGUUCCACUUCCACAUUCCAGCGUGCUGCUACGUUUUCUCAGCUAGAUGAGGAAAGUGAAGCUGGCUCAGUGUCUGUCAAGCACUGGACUACGCAAGACAAAUAUUAAGCAGUAUGAACCAGAGUCAAUUUGCAUUUUGGGUCCACGUGAGCACUGCUCAGAAAUGUAACCAGGUGGCAGAAAGUAAACAGACACCACUCAUCAGUCUCUGCACAUCUUGUAAGAAGAAGUCAGGAGAUCUGUGAGCACGCCAGUGAUGAAGUUACCUGGUAUCCUUCUAUAAACUAGUUCUCAGAUCUGGAAAAGAAGUUCACUAAGCAGCACAGCUCCAGCAGCCCUGACAUCCUGAUCUGCAGACAGUACGACUUCCACGCCCUCAGCAGCCCGAUGCACUUUUGAACCUGGCUGUCAGGAGGGCCGUCCUCCUCCUUGAUUUCCAGGUCAGGAGACUGCAUCUCUGAUGAGAGCUUCAAUAUCGUUUCCAGGAAGAUUAUUAAUGAUUAGCAAGAGUAUCCAAUGAAGAAUACAGACAUUCUUCAAUCCAGAGCCUCAGAACACAACUAUCACUAGAGCAAAUCCUAUCUGCAAGGCUGGAGAUCUAAAGCAGAACCUAAACGCCUCUGUGGCGCUGCUCUCUACCACAUACCUGCUUCCCCGAAAUGCAUCAAAGAAGUACAUCUGAAAAGAAAGCAAAAGAAAGCUAACGCCUGCUUUGUCGAAGCACAGCACCAAGUGAUUACGACCAGGCAGAACAAUGCAUAUGAACUGUGGAAGGGAACUCUUGGCCUAAGAAUAUCGAACACUGCUCACACAAACCACAGACACAAUUUCUAUACUAAACCCCCCAGGGAGCUGCAGAUCCAGCCUGGAACACCGUGGGAGGCUGAGGCUGCUUCCUGCUCCCAGGAGAGGUGAGGCUUGUAAUGGUCCCUCCCUAAAGCCAGGGGUUUCUGAAUUCAUUUGUGAUAUUGUGUUGAUUUGCAGUAUAGGCAGGAGUUCAACCUGUGCACUACUUGCCUCAGUUCAUUGCUUCAUCCUUACUUAUGAUGGCAAGAAAGCUAUUCAUGCUGUCUUUUGCAUUUUGGAGGUAGUCCUCUGGCCAAAGAAGUGUCAAACUUGCAACACCGUCUCGUUUGCUUGCAAAAAUCAUUAUCACUGUGGGUACAGAAAAAUAAAUUGACAAGAAUUAAGUAAGGAAAUGUAAACACCAAAGCAACUGAGGUGCGCAGGAUGGGCCCCACCAAUCUAUGUGUAACAGAAAGAGCUAAAGCCAGUGAGGUCUCGCCAUACAGUGCUUGGUGCUGUAAGGUGCAAGAUGCCUGAUGCAGCACUCUGAAAUGCACACAAAUGCUAUUUAGUUGCCAAUGCAAGCAUCUUAACUGCUGACCAGUGAGAAUGGUCAAAACAGCAAGCAGAGAAACUGCAUUAAUGUGGCAAAGGCAAGCUUUGGUUAUUUCACAGUCAUCUGAUAACAGUGCAAAGUACCAUCUGUCACAUGCCCAAGGUAUCCCAAAGUCUUGUUCAGCUCUCAGUAAUGUUCCUCAUCCUUCCACCAACAAAACAGAACUGCAACAGUUCCACUCCUCCAAUCCUGGGAGUGUGUCUCAUUACUCAUGGCCAGUAAUACCACAAAAACCCACAAAAGACUAUGCUUUUUGUCAUUAAUAUGAUCUUUAAUAAAUGGAAUAAUGCACCAUUUUACAGCAAGCCUUUUCUUUUAGACCUAAAGAAUAGCCUUUUAAAUGUUCUUAUCCAAUGUCUCU